rnacentral:ncRNA from 1 species
AAACUCCGGAGAGGCCAAAAAACGGCGCCGAAGGUGUAUGCCGCCAGCGAGCGGCUAUCUCUCAGGCAAAAGGACGGAGCGG